AGUGUAAAUUCUCCUGGAGCCUGUCAAGCUAUGUUUGAACUCGUUCCAGGAUAGUGGAUUUACUUUUUUUUCCCCACCAGGAAGAAUACUCGAUUAGACUGCAUUUUGCCUUGCUUUUCCUUCUCCCUUUCUCUCUCUUUCUUUCUUUCUUUCUUUCUUUCUUUCUUUCUUUCUUUCUUUCUUUCUUUCUUUCUUUCUUUCUUUCUUUUUCUUUCUCUCUCUCUCUCUCUUUCUUUCUUUCCUUUCUUUUCUUUCUUUCCUCUUUCUCUUUCCUUCUUUCUUUUUUUCUUCUUUCUUUCCUUCCUUCCUUCCAUCUUUCUUUUCUUUCUUUCCAUUUUUUUUUUCCUCCAGAAGAAUGGAAACAGUAUUCUUUUCCGAUCAGUUCAGUAAUACAAUGUCCUUCAGUGUCCAUAUGAGCAUUUCAGUGGAGAAGAAAAGAAACUUUGCUACCUGGGAACUGAAGACUACUUAGUGAAGAUCCCGGUGUUACACAUCCAAUCGUUCACCUCCUUCCAAGACUAUGACAUUCCAGGAAACCUUCACUGCUAAGAGGAACUAAGAUCUAGAGUAUCUCCUCGAGGAAGUACAACUGGAUUCUCCCUCCUUGGUUCUUCCCUGGACCAAGGACAGAAGAAUCAUUCAACACAGAGGCUAUUGACAAAAGGGGCAUAUUUGGUGCAAACAGGGGUAAUUAAUAAGAAGUCCAGUGGCUCACACCUGCGAUCCCAGCACUUUGGGAGGCUGAGAUGGGCAGAUUGCUCGAGCCCAGGAAUUCAAGACCAACCUGGGCAACAUGGCAAAACCCCAUCUCUACAAAAAUACAAAAAUUAACCAGAUGUGAUGGUUCAUGCCUGUAGUCCCAGCUACUCUGGAGGCUGAUGUGGGAGGAUCGCUUGAGCCUAGGAAGUCAAGGCUGCAGUGAGUCAUGAUUGCUCCGCUCCACUGCACUCUGGCCUUGAUGAUAGAGUGAGAACCAGUCUCAAAAAAAAAAAGGUCAUUUUCUAAGCAUUUGUUGAUUCAAUACUGCCCACUAUGUACACUGACAAUUAGACAUAAUUUAAUUUCAGCUCAUGGUAUGAAUGGAGACAAAAUGAAAUCAUUUUAAUGCACAUUAAGGCAAUAUAGUGCCCUUAAAUAAAAAGUUGAAGUUCAUAAGGGACCAUCAUUAAGAUUUAACUUUGUAACAAAUAUUUUGUUUUUGUUUGUUUUAUUUUUAGAUUUGCAUAAUAAAACAUUCAUAUUCUUACCCAGUCUUCCUUGUGAUGAAUAACAUAUUUGGAAGAUGGCCACACUGUGGAGCAAAGCCGGAACCCAGCUAAUAAUGUGUGGGCUCCAUUUAGUGUCUAACUGUAGUGUAUAGACUUUGAAUUUUAUUCUAGGCGAGAUGAAACCCAUUUGGAAACUCUGAGCAAAGGAGUAUAAUGAACUAAAUUUACUUGAAGAGACUUAUUCAGCCAAUGUGCAAAGAAGAGAUUGUAAAAGGGGCCGGGCUGACAGCAGGGAAACCUUUGCAUCAUCAUGGCAUUAAUAAAGGAGACACAUGAUAGUGGUUUGGACUUAAAUGGCUGUGGUGGGAGGUGGUGAUAAAUCGUUAGAUUCUGGGUCUGAUUUGAGGGUAGGGCUUCAGAAUUUACUGGUAGAUUAUAGUUUGGUGUGAGAGAAAAGAGAGGAGUCAAGGCUGACUCCAAGGAUUUUGGCCUCAGCAAUAGGAAAAAUGAUGUUGUCACUUUCUAAGAUGAAGACCAGGGGCAAGAAAAAGAAGUUUUGAUGGGAAUAGCAAGGGCGCAGUUCUACACAACUUAAAUUUGAGAUGUAUAUUAUAUAUUCAAGUGAAGGCGCAGAGUGACAAUUGGAUUAUGAGUGUAGAAAUGUUGGUGCAGGAAAUAGAAAUUUGACAAUCAUUGGCAUAUAGAUGGUAUUCAGUGUCAAGGGACUAGAAGAGAUCACCCAAAGAGUGAAUGCAGAGAGGAAAAUAGAUGAGAUUCCAGAGACUGGGCCCUAGAGAGCUUCAGCCUUAGGGACCAGGAUGGUGAGACGGAACCAGAAAAGGAGAGCAAAAGGCAGACCGACGGAAAGAAGGAGAGCCAGGAGAAAGUGGCGUCUCAGAGACAAGGAAAGAAAGUAACAAAAAAAGAUGUUUUAAGGAAAAGGAAUUGGUCAGCUGUGUCAAAUGACACUAGUAAGCCAAAUAAGAUGAGGACUGAGGCCUGAUCUUUGGAUUUGGCAAAGUGGAGGUUUCCUUGAUAACCUUGAGAAAAGUGAUGCUGGAGAGAUUGGAAACAUAAUCUGGUUGAAAUGGGUUCAAAAAAGAAAAAAAGAUAAAUGGAGACAGGAUAGACAACUCUUCCAGGGGUUUUACUCUAAAGGAGAGGAAAGUAGUGGCGAGGGGAAGAGGGAAUGACUCGAAGAAAAUGCCGUGUCUAAGCAGGGAUGCUAUUAGAAUAACUAUGGCAUGGGCACUGAGCAGUCAGAAGGGAUGCUGCCUAUAGGUCUGGAGCAGGGUCUUGGAGGACUUUGCUGGUCCUGGCAUUAACCUUUUGGUUUCUGGAUUAUAGGCUGUCCAGGAGGUCCCAGGGAAGAGGCUAGGUUGGAAAAGGUCAGAGGCAGAUACUCGGGAGGCUCAGGGUAGCAGUGCUCACCAACCCAUCCAGAAUUCUUUCAGUAUUUUAGCAAUCACCAUAAUAGUGCUCAUGGGCGCUGGCUGAACAUCAGCCUUGGAUCUAUAAAGAGUUGUGUGUGUGUUUUUUUUAAUUAUCUUUAUUUUUAAAGAUGAGGGAUAUUGCAGCAUUUUUUAAUGAUGAUGAGAGGGGAAGAUUGAAAAUUUGAUGAUGUAAGAGAACAAGGUGAGAAUGACAGGAGAUGCUUGAGUGGGCGAAUGGCGCUGGGACUUGUACACAAGCCAAAGCGUUGAUUUUGAUAGAAACACGCCUCGUUGUUUGUUCCAACAGGAAGGAGCGCAGAGGGCAGGGGUGCAGGUAUAGCUUAGCUGCUUAGUGAUGG
rnacentral:lncRNA from 1 species